rnacentral:rRNA from 1 species
UUGUUGCGGUUAAAAAGCUCGUAGUUGGAUUUCUGUCGAAAACAACCGGUCCGCUCUAUGAGCGUGUAUCUGGUCUGGUUUUGGCAUCCUCGUGGGGAACAGCUCUGUGCUUGAUUGCAUGGACUAGUAUUCACGACUUUUACUUUGAGGAAAUUAGAGUGUUCACGGCAGGCAAGCGCCUUGAAUACAUUAGCAUGGAAUAAUAAUAUAGGACUUUGGUUCUAUUUUGUUGGUUUCUAGAACUAAAGUAACGAUUUAAUAG